UACGUAGGUGGCAAGCGUUACUCGGAAUCACUAGGCGUAAAGCGCAGGUAGGCGGUUCGGUAAGUCUUUUGUGAAAGCUCCCGGCUCAACUGGGAGAGAUCAAAGGAAACUACCGGGCUAGAGUGUGGUAGGGGAAACUGGAAUUCCUGGUGUAGCGGUGAAAUGCGUAGAUAUCAGGAGGAACACCUAUGGCGAAAGCAGGUUUCUGGGCCAUCACUGACGCUGAGCUGCGAAAGCUAGGGGAGCAAACAGG
rnacentral:rRNA from 1 species